UUCCGAUUAGCCAAAUGGAAAGGCAAUGGACUUUGAAUCCAUGAGUUCUGGUUCGACCCCAGAAUCGGAAA
rnacentral:tRNA from 2 species